rnacentral:rRNA from 1 species
ACACCAGCACCUCAAGUGGUCAGGAGGAUUAUUGGGCCUAAAGCAUCCGUAGCCUGUUCUGUAAGUGUUCGGUUAAAUCCAUUAGCUCAACUAAUGGGCUGCCGAAAAUACUGUAGAACUAGGGAGUGGGAGAGGUAGACGGUAUUCGGUAGGAAGGGGUAAAAUCCUUUGAUCUAUUGAGGACCACCUGUGGCGAAGGCGGUCUACCAGAACACGUUCGACGGUGAGGGAUGAAAGCUGGGGGAGCAAACCGGAUUAGAUACCCGAGUAGUCC